rnacentral:rRNA from 2 species
UGAGGAAUAUUGGUCAAUGGGCGAGAGCCUGAACCAGCCAAGUCGCGUGAAGGAAGAAGGUUCUAUGGAUUGUAAACUUCUUUUGUAAGGGAAUAAAAAGAGUUACGUGUAACUUAUUGUAUGUACUUUACGAAUAAGGAUCGGCUAACUCCGUGCCAGCAGCCGCGGUAAUACGGAGGAUCCAAGCGUUAUCCGGAUUUAUUGGGUUUAAAGGGUGCGUAGGCGGGUUUUUAAGUCAGUGGUGAAAGUUUGCAGCUCAACUGUAAAAUUGCCAUUGAAACUGAAGACCUUGAGUGUAAAUGAGGUAGGCGGAAUGUGUUGUGUAGCGGUGAAAUGCUUAGAUAUAACACAGAACACCAAUUGCGAAGGCAGCUUACUGGGAUACAACUGACGCUGAGGCACGAAAGCGUGGGGAUCAAACA